CUGGCGCUACCAUCAACAACCAAAUUUGUAUGUAUUCCUCAUUUUUUAAGUCAUCAUGUAUUUUACCUACUUGCCUGCUCUAUUCUGCAAGGGACAUUCGAUUUUUUUUGUAGCAUUUCAUCUGUGUACUCGCGAGCGCAUCCAUGCCGCUUUUAAUGCUGAAACAUUAAAAAGUUAUUUUACACCUCCUAUGUACCUGCAAGCUCAUUCUUCUUAUUUGAUAACAUAGCAACUUGUUGCUCUGUUGAUGGGCAUUUUCUUUUUGGAGGUCCAGCAAACUUGAUUACCUCUUCUAUUUGAUAAUAUACUUGCAGCUCCAAGGUCUUCACAGCUCUUUUAACUCAUGUAUAUGUGUUCUGUGAAGAGGUAGCUAAAGUUUAGUACAUUCAGAAGUUAAGCUCCUGAUUUGCAUUCAUUUCUACUACAUCAACGUAAUUUUGGAAUAGAUAGCUCAUGAGUGCCAAAAAGAUGAGGUUGAAUUUGGUUAUCCAGAACAUGAUUUGGUCUUCUUAUUGAUAGCAAGGUGAACCUCAAGAAAAAAUGUUUUAUAGUGGACGUGGAAUAUUUGUGUGGCCUUUUUCCUGAGUGACUUUCGGGUUAUGUAGAGAUUUUUAGAUAUUUUUUCCUCGGUCAGAUUUUGUGUGAGAUGCCCUUUAUCUAAUGUGUACCUUUAAUUCUAUCUUAUGUUGUUAGAUGCUAAUUUUGUGUAAUAGUUUUCGACUGCAAGAUCACCAUAACGAGGCAGCUAUCUUGAUUUCAUGUGUGUUCUUUCGGCACAAAUGUACAAUGUAACUUUUCAUAAUAAUGAUUCCAUGCAUCGUUGGUACCUUUUAGCAUGCUUUUGGAGUUGAGAGAUGAUUUCCUGGUGGAUUUGGCGGUGGUGAUGCUAUAGGUUCAACGAUGUGGGUGCUAGAAGAAGUGCAACUCUUAUCAACAGCGAAAGUCUACUCUUGACAAAGGCCAUGGUUGGUAGCUGGAUCCAAAACGCAAAGAAUAAAGGUUUAUUUUCCUGGAUCUCCUAUGUCGCAGCUGAUACUAUUGUGUUAUGUUGAAGUUUUAUUUUCACUGCUUCCCUUCAUCAUGUGUGAGCUGAGGUACAUUUCACUUCCACCCCCUUCUAUGCUCAAUACUCUUUCUAAAUCUAACAGGGUUCUUACCUGGAGUCUAUAUGUAUGUAGGAUUUUUGAUUGGGAGGGGGCCAGUGUUUGAUUAAUUUAUAGAAUGGUCAAACAUUUCAAGGAUGUCUGUUCCAAUUAAUUUCUAGAAUGCUCUGAGAGACAUAGAUGGAAAUUGCAAUUCUUUACUGUCAUUGUACAUUAUGUAGAUAUAUAUAUUUCACAAAUCUCUGGUCGAAUGUUUGAUCAGGGUUGAGACUCCAUCUCCUUUUGUUUUCUCAUCUAACAUUUUUGCUUUUAAAACACAGAAACUUGGCAAGAAUAAUUGAGAUGCACAUCCGAUUGUGUCAGCGGAUUGUUCCCUGAUUAUAUGGACCUAACGGAUUCAUCUGUAAUAAUGAUGCGGAAAGUAGUCAUACUCAGGAACCUAAAAGAAAAGUAGUCUCUUCCUGAACCAUUCAUGCAGUCAUGGAUGAUGCUAUGAUGCAUGUUCCUGCUUGAUAUAAAUCAGUUUGCAUGCUCUUUUAUUUUUAUAUACGGCCCUGUAUUGUAGUAGUACAAGUAUGUCUUAAUCCUUUUGUUUUAUUUAUCAAUUUUUUAUCCAGGGAUACAAUUUACUUCUACUCUCAUUAUUUUAAAGCUUAUCUAUUUCCAUGGCUCUACAGUUCCUUUGGAAUUCGUAAACAAUCUGAGCAGCUAAAAUAAAGUGGAUGUUGAUUCUCAAUAGUAAGGACCCAUUUCCGAAAUAUUAGUUGACGUGAAUCAUCU
rnacentral:lncRNA from 1 species